AUGAACGCUAGCUACAGGCUUAACACAUGCAAGUCGAGGGGCAGCAUGGUCUUAGCUUGCUAAGGCCGAUGGCGACCGGCGCACGGGUGAGUAACACGUAUCCAACCUGCCGUCUACUCUUGGACAGCCUUCUGAAAGGAAGAUUAAUACAAGAUGGCAUCAUGAGUCCACAUGUUCACAUGAUUAAAGGUAUUCCGGUAGACGAUGGGGAUGCGUUCCAUUAGAUAGUAGGCGGGGUAACGGCCCACCUAGUCUUCGAUGGAUAGGGGUUCUGAGAGGAAGGUCCCCCACAUUGGAACUGAGACACGGUCCAAACUCCUACGGGAGGCAGCAGUGAGGAAUAUUGGUCAAUGGGCGAGAGCCUGAACCAGCCAAGUAGCGUGAAGGAUGACUGCCCUAUGGGUUGUAAACUUCUUUUAUAAAGGAAUAAAGUCGGGUAUGGAUACCCGUUUGCAUGUACUUUAUGAAUAAGGAUCGGCUAACUCCGUGCCAGCAGCCGCGGUAAUACGGAGGAUCCGAGCGUUAUCCGGAUUUAUUGGGUUUAAAGGGAGCGUAGAUGGAUGUUUAAGUCAGUUGUGAAAGUUUGCGGCUCAACCGUAAAAUUGCAGUUGAUACUGGAUAUCUUGAGUGCAGUUGAGGCAGGCGGAAUUCGUGGUGUAGCGGUGAAAUGCUUAGAUAUCACGAAGAACUCCGAUUGCGAAGGCAGCCUGCUAAGCUGCAACUGACAUUGAGGCUCGAAAGUGUGGGUAUCAAACAGGAUUAGAUACCCUGGUAGUCCACACGGUAAACGAUGAAUACUCGCUGUUUGCGAUAUACUGCAAGCGGCCAAGCGAAAGCGUUAAGUAUUCCACCUGGGGAGUACGCCGGCAACGGUGAAACUCAAAGGAAUUGACGGGGGCCCGCACAAGCGGAGGAACAUGUGGUUUAAUUCGAUGAUACGCGAGGAACCUUACCCGGGCUUAAAUUGCAGAUGAAUUACGGUGAAAGCCGUAAGCCGCAAGGCAUCUGUGAAGGUGCUGCAUGGUUGUCGUCAGCUCGUGCCGUGAGGUGUCGGCUUAAGUGCCAUAACGAGCGCAACCCUUGUUGUCAGUUACUAACAGGUCAUGCUGAGGACUCUGACAAGACUGCCAUCGUAAGAUGUGAGGAAGGUGGGGAUGACGUCAAAUCAGCACGGCCCUUACGUCCGGGGCUACACACGUGUUACAAUGGGGGGUACAGAGGGCCGCUACCACGCGAGUGAAUGCCAAUCCCAAAAACCUCUCUCAGUUCGGACUGGAGUCUGCAACCCGACUCCACGAAGCUGGAUUCGCUAGUAAUCGCGCAUCAGCCACGGCGCGGUGAAUACGUUCCCGGGCCUUGUACACACCGCCCGUCAAGCCAUGGGAGCCGGGGGUACCUGAAGUGCGUAACCGCGAGGAGCGCCCUAGGGUAAAACUGGUGACUGGGGCU
rnacentral:rRNA from 1 species